rnacentral:rRNA from 1 species
AUGUGCGUGAUUCCACCGCCGCCGCCCACCCGUGUGAUUUCGGCGCCAACCUACGCCGCACGACCUUCACUCGUGCUACCGCUCACCUGUGUGAUUCAGUCGCCCAGGGUGUUGGUGGAGUCGCUCCUUCCCCGCUGCUGGUGGAAUCGCCACCCGAGCCUGAGCUCGUCGCCGAGUUCCCGCCUCUGCUGUUGGUACUCUUGGGGAUGGCAUGAUGAUUUGCUAGUUUUUGGAAACAUUCAAUCAGGAAAUCAAGAAAUUGAUCAUGAUGAUCCGCUAGUUUUUGAAACAGUCAAUCAGGAGAUCAUGAUGACCUACUACUUUUGGAAACAAUCAAACAGUCAAUCAGUCAAUUUUUGGAAACAAUAA